AGUGGAUCAGUGGCGAACGGGUGAGUAACACGUGAGCAACCUGCCCCUGACUCUGGGAUAACAGUCGGAAACGAUUGCUAAUACCGGAUAUGCACCAUGAACGCAUGUUCUGUGGUGGGAAAGAUUUUUUGGUUGGGGAUGGGCUCGCGGCCUAUCAGCUUGUUGGUGAGGUAAUGGCUCACCAAGGCGUCGACGGGUAGCCGGCCUGAGAGGGUGACCGGCCACACUGGGACUGAGACACGGCCCAGACUCCUACGGGAGGCAGCAGUGGGGAAUAUUGCACAAUGGGCGAAAGCCUGAUGCAGCAACGCCGCGUGAGGGAUGACGGCCUUCGGGUUGUAAACCUCUUUUAGCAGGGAAGAAGCGAGAGUGACGGUACCUGCAGAAAAAGCGCCGGCUAACUACGUGCCAGCAGCCGCGGUAAUACGUAGGGCGCAAGCGUUAUCCGGAAUUAUUGGGCGUAAAGAGCUCGUAGGCGGUUUGUCGCGUCUGCUGUGAAAACUGGAGGCUCAACCUCCAGCCUGCAGUGGGUACGGGCAGACUAGAGUGCGGUAGGGGAGAUUGGAAUUCCUGGUGUAGCGGUGGAAUGCGCAGAUAUCAGGAGGAACACCGAUGGCGAAGGCAGAUCUCUGGGCCGUAACUGACGCUGAGGAGCGAAAGGGUGGGGAGCAAACAGGCUUAGAUACCCCUGGUAGUCCACCCCGUAAACGUUGGGAACUAGUUGUGGGGGCCUUUCCACGGUCUCCGUGACGCAGCUAACGCAUUAAGUUCCCCGCCUGGGGAGUACGGCCGCAAGGCUAAAACUCAAAGGAAUUGACGGGGACCCGGCACAAGCGGCGGAGCAUGCGGAUUAAUUUCGAUGCAACGCGAAGAACCUUACCAAGGCUUGACAUAUACG
rnacentral:rRNA from 1 species